CCACACGCACCCUGAUUUUACGUUCCUCUAAGAAAAAGAAUAUGUAGGAGCCGUCACUGAAAGAUGCACGCUGAUUUCCAAGGUGUUCAAUUUGAAAAUGGACAUGACUUAGGAUUCAUGAAAUAGUGUCUUGUUGCAGGCCUAUUAGAUGUCAGGUACUGGAGAGAUUUCUUCCUUUCUUCAUAGAACUGACUGCCCAAUCGGAUAUGAGGCAAGACUGCAUCUGUAACCCCUUAGUUCUUCCAUAGGCCCGACCACAAGGAAGCCAGACUUUCUCUUAAGUGUUUCACUCCAGAAAGACGUCAGCCCUUUACGCCUGCCACGUUUAACAGCAGGUGAGCAGGUAAACAAAAGAAAAUAGGAAGAUGCACAGAUCUUCAAAUUAGCCAGCACUUGAGCUCUAUGGUGCUGGAAACCUUACGGAACCUAAUUUCCAUAACUCCGCGUUGAUUUCUGUUUUGUUUGCAAAUAUGUUUCCUGUAUUUAUUCCUUGUGAAUAAAUAGCACUGUCUAUUUCAUUUCUAGAAAAAUAAACGUGCUGUUUCACAGACAGCAGUUCACUGGACAGAGAAGAGCAGAACCCAGAUAUGGAGAUCAUACACUUUUUUUUUUGAGGAAAAUCAGCCCUGAGCUAACAUCUGCCACCAAUCCUCCUCUUUUUGCUGAGGAAGAUUGGCCCUGAACUAACAUCUGUGCCUAUCUUCCUCUCUUUAAUAAGGGGGACACCUGCCACAGCAUGGCUUGAUAAGCGGUACAUAGGUCCGUGCCUGGGAUCUGAACUGGCAAACCCCAGGCCCCCGAAGGGUAGUGAGCGAACUUAAUCACUAGGCCACCAGGUUGGCCCCAGAUCAUACACUUGGAAGUAAGAUUUUAAAAACAGAUUGUUAUCCAUCUAUACUUCCUCAUCUUGCUUUACAGGUGUAGCCUGGAGGCAAGUUUUGGUUUCACUGGAUUAGUUUACCAUUGAUGCCCUGAGAUCCACUUCUGAAAGUGACCAGGACAGCCAUUUAAGUCAGGCAGGCACAGUGGAAGGUGCACUGUGUACCCACGUCUAAGCCACAAGGGCCCCGACUGCGUCCUUUGCUUUCAUCCUUGUUCUGCCUGCAUAGUCUUCGAACCCCAAGCUAUUGACCACCCACCCAACAAAAAGGAACCAAUUUCUUUAUCCCACUUCGCUCUGUCAGCUUCUUGA
rnacentral:lncRNA from 1 species